GACAGAGGGGGCAAGCGUUGCUCGGAAUUACUGGGCGUAAAGGGCGCGUAGGCGGGAUGGCAAGUCGGUCGUGAAAUCCCUCGGCUCAACCGAGGAACGUCGAUCGAUACUGCUGUUCUUGAGGAUUGCAGAGGAGACUGGAAUUCCCGGUGUAGCGGUGAAAUGUGUAGAGAUCGGGAGGAGCACCGGUGGCGAAGGCGGGUCUCUGGGCCGUAACUGACGCUGAGGAGCGAAAGCAUGGGGAGCGAACAGG
rnacentral:rRNA from 1 species